rnacentral:rRNA from 1 species
AGAGUUUGAUCCUGGCUCAGAACGAACGCUGGCGGCAGGCCUAACACAUGCAAGUCGAACGAUGCCUUCGGGCAUAGUGGCGCACGGGUGAGUAACACGUGGGAACAUACCUUUUGGUGGGGGAUAACUUCGGGAAACUGAAGCUAAUACCGCAUACGCCCCUUGGGGGAAAGAUUUAUCGCCGAAAGAUUGGCCCGCGUCCGAUUAGCUAGUUGGUGAGGUAAUGGCUCACCAAGGCUCCGAUCGGUAGCUGGUCUGAGAGGAUGACCAGCCACACUGGGACUGAGACACGGCCCAGACUCCUACGGGAGGCAGCAGUGGGGAAUAUUGGACAAUGGGCGCAAGCCUGAUCCAGCCAUGCCGCGUGAGUGAUGAAGGCCUUAGGGUUGUAAAGCUCUUCACCCACGACGAUGAUGACGGUA